UGCUGACGUGCGUCGCGGCCUAGGUAGGGAGCGAGUGGCGCAGUCGGAGUCCGCUGCGGCCCCUGAGGAAGCGAAGCGUCAGCGGCGGCGGCGGCGGCGGCGGCGGCGACUGCCUAGGCGGACCGGCGAGGCGAGGCGGCGGCUCCAGGGCCCCGGGACUCGGCAGUUGGCGCAGCGCGGCGGCGAAGGGCCCUCGCCACCUCGUAGGCGGCGGGCGGAGGCGGCGGGAGCGGUGGUGCCCCCCCCCCCCGGGCACGGGGCCAUGUACAACGGGAUCGGGCUGCCGACGCCCCGGGGCAGCGGCACCAACGGCUACGUCCAGCGCAACCUGUCCCUGGUGCGGGGCCGCCGGGGUGAGCGGCCUGACUACAAGGGAGAGGAGGAGCUGCGGCGCCUGGAGGCCGCCCUGGUGAAGCGGCCUAACCCUGACAUCCUGGACCACGAGCGCAAGCGGCGCGUGGAGCUGCGAUGCCUCGAGCUGGAGGAGAUGAUGGAAGAGCAGGGGUACGAAGAACAGCAGAUUCAGGAAAAAGUGGCGACCUUUCGACUCAUGUUGCUGGAGAAGGAUGUGAACUCGGGGGGCAAGGAGGAGACCCCGGGGCAGAGGCCAGCGGUAACCGAGACUCACCAGCUGGCUGAAUUGAAUGAGAAGAAGAAUGAGCGGCUCCGAGCUGCCUUUGGCAUCAGUGAUUCAUAUGUGGAUGGAAGCUCUUUUGAUCCUCAGCGUCGUGCUCGAGAAGCUAAACAACCAGCUCCUGAGCCCCCCAAACCUUACAGCCUGGUUCGGGAGUCCAGCAGUUCUCGUUCACCAACCCCAAAGCAAAAGAAGAAGAAAAAGAAGAAAGAUAGAGGACGGAGGUCAGAGAGCAGCUCUCCCCGAAGAGAGAGGAAGAAAAGCUCAAAGAAGAAAAAACACAGAUCAGAAUCUGAAUCCAAGAAGAGGAAGCACAGGUCUCCCACUCCAAAGAGCAAACGCAAAUCUAAAGACAAGAAGCGAAAGCGCAGGUCUCGAAGUACAACGCCGGCCCCCAAGAGCCGCCGGGCCCAUCGCUCGACUUCUGCUGACUCUGCCUCCUCUUCUGAUACUUCCCGCAGUCGGUCUCGAAGUGCUGCGGCUAAAACCCAUACAACUACAUUAACUGGGCGAAGUCCUUCCCCUGCUUCAGAGUGUCGGGGGGAGGGAGGUGCACCUUCCAAGGAACCAGGUGCUUCCAGCGCUGGGCAGUCCGGCAGCCCCGAGCCCUCGGCAAAGCAGCCUAGUAGCCCUUCCGAAGACAAAGAUAAGGAUAAGAAGGAGAAAUCUGCAACUCGACCUAGUCCCUCUCCGGAAAGGAGCAGCACAGGCCCAGAACCACCUGGUCCCACUUUGCUCCUUGCUGAGCAACAAGGCGGCUCCCCACAAGCCCUUACAGCAACUCCCUUGAGUCAGGAGCCAGUGAAUCCCCCAAACGAGGCCUCCCCACCUCGUGGCCGUUCACCUCCUAAGUCUCCUGAGAAACCUCCCCCGUCUUCCUCAGAGAGCUGCCCGCCAUCCCCUCAACUUACCAAAGCUUCUCGGCAUGCCAGCUCUUCCCCAGAAAGUCCUAAACCCGCACCACCACCUGGAUCCCGCCGAGAGGCUUCUUCUUCUCCCGCAUCUAAAAGUCGCUCACAUGGCCGAGCAAAGCGGGAUAAGUCACAUUCUCAUACUCCCCAGAGAGGGGGCCGGUCUCGUAGCCCUGCCACUACUAAGAGGGGUGCGAGGUCUCGAUCUCGAACCCCUACCAAGAGAGGUCAUUCUCGAUCCCGGUCCCCUCAGUGGCGUAGGUCCCGGUCUGCACAGAGGUGGGGACAAUCUAGAAGCCCUCAGCGGCGUGGCCGCUCCAGGUCUCCUCAGCGACCAGGCUGGUCCAGGAGCAGAAAUACCCAGAGAAGAGGCAGGUCUAGGUCAGCCCGGCGAGGCAGGUCACAAUCAAGAUCUCCAGCAACUAGAGGGAGAUCUCGCUCUAGAACACCAGCCCGGCGAGGCAGGUCGCGUUCUAGAACACCUGCCAGACGGAGAUCACGGUCCAGAACACCGGCCAGGCGCAGGUCUCGUAGCAGAUCACCAGUCCGGAGGGGCAGGUCUCGCUCUAGAUCUGUUAGGCGUAGAUCUAGAACCCGAUCGGUACGACGGCGGUCUCGUAGUAGAUCACCAGCCAGGCGAGGUGGCCGGUCACGCUCUAGAUCUGCAGCCAGGCGAGGUGGCCGGUCACGCUCUAGAUCUGCAGCCAGGCGAGGUGGCCGGUCACGCUCUAGAUCUGCAGCCAGGCGAGGUGGCCAGUCACGCUCUAGAAGCCCAGCCAGGAGAGUGAGAUCUCGGUCUAGGACACCUGUAAGACGAAGAUCCCGAAGUAGAAGUCUAGUUAGACGGGGAAGGUCCCAUUCUAGAACACCCCAAAGAAGAGGCAGAUCUGGUUCAUCAUCAGAGCGGAAGAAUAAAUCCAGAACAUCACAGAGAAGGAGCAGGUCCAACUCUAGUCCCGAAAUGAAAAAGUCACGAGUUUCUUCAAGGCGGAGCAGAUCGCUCUCUUCACCACCCUCCAAAGCAAAGUCUCGCCUGUCUUUAAGGCGAAGUCUUUCAGGAUCUUCUCCAUGCCCUAAACAAAAGUCUCAGACACCAUUGAGGCGAAGUCACUCUGGAUCACCCCAACUUAAAGCAAAAUCUAGAACACCACCAACGCACAGUCGCUCUGGUUCUUCUCCACCUCCUAGCCAGAAAUCGAAAACUUCAUUAAGUCAGAGUCGUUCCAGUUUGUCCCCUCAACCUAAAGUAAAAUCUGGAACUUCACCAAGGCGGGAGUCAGUAACCAGUCCCCAGGCAAGUGAACAGUCUACACCACCGCAGAGGCAGAGCCGUUCAGAAUCAUCUCCUGACCCUGAGGUGAAAUGUAAGACCCCUUUAAGACUCAGCUUCUCUGGAUCUUCUCCUCCUAGAGGGAAACCCAGCACAUCUCCGAGAUGGAGCCGACCUGGGUCUUCAUCUCCACAACCCAAAAUCAAGGCAGUGACAUCACCCACCCAAAGCCAUUCUGGCUCCUCUUCUCCAAGCCCUAGUAGGGUGACAUCUAAAACACCUCCAAGGCAGAGCAGAUCCGAGUCUCCCUGUUUGAAGGUGGAAUCUAGAUUGUUGGGAAGGCACAGCCGUUCCAGGUCCUCCUCACCAGAUACCGAAGUGAAACCUGAGACACCACCAAGACAAAGUCACUCAGGCUCUUCUUCACCAAACUCCAAAGUAACCCAGACAACACCAGGGCAGUGUCUUUCUGGAUCCAAGUCACCGUGUUCCCAAGAGAAGCCUGAAGAGUCACCCGUAGGAUCAUUCACCACCUGUCCUGGAGUAAAAUCCAGUACACCAUCAGGAGAGGGCUAUUAUGGCUUUCCAUCUCUGCAGCACAAAGGACAGUCUGAAAUAUCACCAGACUCUGGAUCUGACACUUCCAGUCCAGAAGCAAGACAGAGUCAUUCUGAGUCUCUGCUUCUGCAAAGCAAAUCUCAAGUAUGUAAGGGUGAUCGGUCCAGAUCCUCAUCUCCCGUCACAGAACUGAGCUCCAUGUCCCCUAAAAGACAAGAUGGAAAUGAACUGGCAACAAGUCCCAUCCUGAAAUCUGGGAUGUCUCCUGAACAGAGCAGGGUAGUGUCUGACUCUUCUCUGUUGGCUGCCUUUGACUCUAACUCUGUUUUGGGGCAGAGUAGAUUGGAGUCCUCUGAAUUGAAAGAGAAUACUGGCUUAGCCCUUCAGGAGGGUGCUACUGCUUCAUCUCCUCCACCAAGAGACAAGCUGAGUCCUCUGGUGCAGGAUAGGUCUGACUUCUCACCCGUGUUCAAAGAUGCAGCUCGAACUCCGUCAAGGGAAAGUGGUGGCCUUGGGUCAUCUCCAGACACAAAAGACCAAAGUAGUCCACUAGCUAAGAAAAGCCAAGAUGAUGAAAUAAUGGAGGUGGCGGAGAAAUCUGAGGAGUCCCUGAGCCAGCCCCUUCCCCAUUUGUCUCCAGAAACAAAAGAAAUGACUGGAAGUAAUUUUGAGUCAUCUCCUGAGAUGGAAGACAGGCCUGCUGUUUCUUUGACAUUUGAGCAAAGCCAGUCGCAGACUCUGCAAGCAGAAGUCUCUGCAGCAACCUCCACGUGGAGCGGGCCACCGUUUUCUCCAGAACACAAGGAACCUUCUCACUCCCCUGGUAGGGACAAUAGCUGUGGCUCACCAUUGGAACUUAGAGAUACAGGCCUCGUUGCAGAAGCAAACGCUGGACUUUCUCCUGAGGUUAAAGAUGUGAAUGGACCGUUUACUAAUCAGCUGGAGACAGAUCCGUCUCUAGAUGUGAAAGAACAAUCCACAAGGUCUUCCAGACACAGCAGUUCUGAGUUGUCCCCAGAUGCAGUGGAAAAGGCAGGAGUGUCUUCAAAUCAGAGUGCUUCACCUGUGCUCGAUGCCAUACCCAGAACACCCUCUAGGGAAAGAAGUAGUUCUGUAUCUUCCCCUGAGCUGAAAGACGGUUUACCCAGAACCCCUUCAAGGAGAAGCAGAUCUGGGUCUUCCCCUGGACUGAGAGACGGGUCAGGGAGUCCAUCAAGGCACAGUUUAUCCGGGUCCUCUCCUGGAAUGAAGGAUGUACCUAGAACACCAUCCAGGGGGAGAAGUGAGUGCGAUUCUUCUCCAGAACCAAAAGCUUUGCCUCAGACUCCCAGGCCAAGGAGUCGUUCUCCGUCCUCCCCAGAGAUGAACAACAAGUGUCUUACUCCCCAGAGAGAAAGAAGUGGAUCAGAAUCCUCAGUUGAGCAGAAGGCUGUGGCUAGGACUCCUCUUGGCCAGAGAAGUCAGUCUGAAUCUUCGCAAGAAGUUGACGGGAAACCACCCAGUAUCUCCCCUCAGGAAGGAAGUGAGUCUGACUCUUCUCCAGAUUCUAAGGCCAAGACACGUGUGCCGCUCAGACAGAGGAGUCACUCUGGGUCCUCCCCAGAGGUUGACAGCAAGUCUCGACCUUCUCCCAGGCGCAGUCGUUCUGGCUCAUCCCCUGAAAUGCAAGAGAAGCCAAGAGCAGCAGCCAGGGCACAGAGCGCUUCGGAUUCCUCGCCUGAGCCCAAGGUUCCUGUGUCCCGGGCCCUUCCCAGACGAAGCAGGUCUGGGUCUUCCAGCAAAGGCAGAGGCCCUUCUCCUGAGGGGAGCAGCAGUUCUGAGUCCUCUCCAGAACACCCCCCCAAAUCCAGAGCUGCUAGGAGAAGUUCUAGAUUAUCACCAGAACCAAAGACCAAGUCUCGAACCCCCCCUCGCCGUCGUGGCUCUCGGUCAUCCGAACUGACCAGGAAGACGAGGCUCUCCCGCCGAAGCCGCUCUGCCUCGUCCUCACCAGAAACCCGCUCUCGAACUCCGCCGAGGCGCCGGCGAAGUCCUUCGGUGUCAUCCCCAGAGCCAGUUGAGAAGUCGAGGUCCUCACGGCGACGACGUUCAGUUUCCUCUCCACGCACCAAGACCACUUCAAGGAGAGGGCGUUCUCCUUCACCAAAGCUUCGUGGGCUACAGAGGUCCCGGUCCCGCUCAAGGCGGGAGAAAACCAGAACCACCCGACGCCGGGAUAGGUCUGGUUCCUCUCAGUCCACCUCCCGGAGAAGACAGCGGAGCCGUUCAAGAUCUCGGCUUACUCGGAGGCGCAGGGGGGGUUCUGGUUACCGGUCAAGGUCUCCAGCUCGGCAGGAGAGCUCUCGAACUUCUCGACGCAGAAGAGGCCGCUCCCGCACACCCCCAACCAGCCGCAAGCGCUCCCGCUCGCGUACAUCACCGGCGCCAUGGAAACGCUCCAGGUCCCGGGCCUCUCCAACCACUCACCGGAGAUCCAGGUCCAGGACGCCCCUGGUCAGCCGGCGGAGGUCCAGGUCUCGGACCUCCCCAGUCAGCCGGCGGCGGUCACGGUCCAGGACCUCUGUCACUCGCCGAAGAUCUCGGUCUAGAGCGUCCCCAGUGAGUCGGAGGCGAUCUAGGUCUAGAACACCACCAGUCACCCGUCGAAGGUCAAGGUCCAGGACCCCUGCUCGCCGCCGCUCCCGGUCUAGAACUCCACUAGUGACUCGCAGAAGGUCCAGAUCAAGGACUCCGCUGGUGACCAGAAGGCGGUCUCGAAGCAGAACCUCACCCAUCACACGCAGAAGAUCAAGAUCUAGAACCUCCCCAGUCACCCGGAGGAGGUCUCGAUCUCGCACUUCACCGGUAACGCGCAGGCGGUCCCGCUCUCGAACCUCCCCGGUGACACGCCGUCGUUCCAGGUCACGCACCCCUCCAGUCAUUCGCCGUCGUUCUAGGUCUCGGACCCCGCUUCUGCCACGCAAGCGUUCUCGAAGUCGCUCACCUGUUGUUAUUCGGCGCCGAUCUCGAUCCCGUACCCCGAGAACAACACGGGGCAAGCGGUCCCUUACAAGGUCUCCUCCUGCCAUCCGCCGGCGUUCUGCAUCUGGAAGUAGCUCCGACCGCUCUCGAUCUGCUACUCCUCCAGCCACCAGGAAUCACUCUGGCUCUCGAACUCCCCCAGUGGCUCUCAGCAGCUCUCGGAUGAGCUGCUUCAGUCGUCCCAGCAUGUCCCCAACUCCUCUCGACCGCUGUAGGUCACCUGGACUGCUGGAGCCCCUCGGCAACUCGAGAACGCCCAUGUCUGUCCUGCAGCAAAGUGGUGGCUCCAUGCUGGAUACUCCAGGUCCUCGAAUCCCUGAUCACCCCAGGUCGUCUGUGCCAGAAAACCACGCUCAGUCUCGAAUCGCGCUUGCUCUGACAGCCAUCAGUCUCGGCACCGCCCGGCCGCCUCCGGCCAUGUCUGCCGCCAGCCUCGCUGCAAGAAUGGCCCAGGUUCCGGCGCCUGUGCCUCUUAUGAGUCUCCGGACGGCACCAGCCGCCAGCCUUGCCAGCAGGAUACCCGCAGCCUCUGCAGCAGCCAUGAACUUGGCCGGCGCCAGGACACCUGCCAUCCCAACUGCAGUGAACCUGCCCGACUCGAGAACACCAGCCACGGCAGCAGCCAUGACCCUGGCCAGCCCCAGAACAGCGGUGGCACCUUCGGCUGUGAACCUCACUGACCCUCGCACCCCCACAGCCCCAGCCGUGAACCUCGCAGGAGCCAGAACCCCAGCUGCCUUGGCUGCUCUGAGCCUCUCAGGAUCUGGCACCCCACCCGCUGCCGCGAGCUAUCCCUCCAGCUCCAGAACACCCCAGGCACCGGCCCCUGCGAACCUGGUGGGCCCCCGGUCUGCACACACCUCGGCCCCAGUGAACAUCGCCAGCUCAAGAACCCCUCCGGCCUUGGCCCCUGCGAGCCUCACCAGCGCUAGAAUGGCUCCGGCCUUGUCUGGUGCAAACCUCACCAGCCCCAGGGUGCCCCUCUCUGCCUACGAGUGCAUCAGUGGCAGAGCCUCACCACCACUUCUCGACCCGGCCAGGUCCAGAACCCCACCCGGUGGCCCAGGCUCCAGAACCCCGCCGUCUGCCUCGAGUCAGUCCAGGAUGAGCUCGGAACAGGCUGCCUCUCCUGCCUCUCGGAUGGUCCAGGCCUCCUCACAGUCAGCUCUCCCGCCCGCCCAGGAUGGACCUAGGUCCCCUGUGCCAGCAGCUUUUUCUGAUCAGUCCCGGUCUUUGCUUGCCCAGUCCACCCCGGCAGCUGGGUCUCAGCCCCUCUCCUCUGGGACGGUGGCAAAGACCGUGUCCUCUGGCGACCACGAUGGCAUGCUUGCUGGCCCUGUUGCUGGGGCAUCUCACCCUGAGGGUGGGGAGCCACCCGCCUCUACCGGGGCCCAGCAAUCUUCUGCGCUGGCUGCCCUGCAGCCGGCAAAGGAGCGACGGAGCUCUUCCUCCUCAUCCUCCUCAAGCUCCUCCUCCUCGUCCUCUUCAUCAUCUUCGUCAUCUUCAUCAUCCUCCGGCUCCAGUUCCAGCGACUCAGAGGGCUCUAGCCUUCCAGCUCAGCCUGAGGUAGCGCCGAAGAGGGUCCCCAGCCCCAUACCAGCCCCGAAGGAGGCCAUUCGAGAGGGCCGUCCUCAGGAGCCGACCCCAGCCAAAAGGAAGAGGCGCUCUAGCAGCUCUAGCUCCAGCUCCUCUUCUUCCUCCUCCUCAUCCUCCUCCUCCUCCUCCUCCUCCUCCUCUUCAUCAUCCUCUUCAUCCUCCUCCUCCUCCUCCUCCUCCUCUUCCUCCUCUCCCUCCCCUGCUAAGCUUGGCCCCCAGGCCUUGCCCAAACCUGCAAGCCCCAAGAAGCCACCCCCUGGCGAGCAGAGCCUCUUCCCUGUCUCCCUGCCUCCACGCCAUUCUCUUCCACACGUAGCCAGAGGGAUCUUUCUAAAACGCACAUCUGGUUACUUCCCUCCACUCCACAAAUCCUUCCGGGACGCCCUGUGGCCUGCAGGAUAAAGCCCCACCUCUGCGGGAAUGGCGUGUGAGGCGCUUCACCAACUGGCCUUGCCUGCCCCGUCUCCUGCCCGCCCCCACACAUGCCCUGUGCUCCAGCCGCACCCGGCGCCUUGCAGUCUAAGGAGAACCCCAUGCCUUUGGACAUGCUGUUCCUUCUGCCUGGCGAACUCCUCGUUCUGCAAGACUCCGCUCAGACAGCACCUUGGAGAAGACCACCCUGCCCCUGCCCCUGCCCGGCCCCGCCCCCAGCCCCGCACAUCUGUCCUGCGGGGCUGCCCCCACACAUGUGCUGGGCGAGCCUCCCUUGGCUCUCCUCCACUCCCAGGCAGUCCUCCAAGGCAGGGGCUGUCUCUCUCUUGGCGUCCCCCGCUGCACCCCGGGCCCUGCCCAUUGCGGGCCCUCGGAAGGUGUGCGGGCGGACGGGUGAGUGAGCUGACACAGGUGGGUCUGAGGCUGGCCCCGCGUGGUGUGAGGCUUGGGUCAGGACGGGCGGCCUACGUGCUGCUGGGGUCGAGGUGUGGUGCUAUGGGACGCGCUCUGCCCCCCAGGUCCCGAAGCCCCCGGAAGCCGAUCGACUCCCUCCGGGACUCCAGGUCCCUUAGCUACUCACCUGCAGAGCGCCGCCGCCCCUCACCCCAACCAUCACCCCGGGACCAGCAGAGCAGCAGCAGUGAGCGUGGUUCCCGGAGAGGCCAGC